rnacentral:rRNA from 1 species
CCCCACUAUGCUUAGCCCUAAACUCAGAUGUAAGUACAUACAAACUCAUCCGCCAGGGUACUACAAGCGCUAGCUUAAAACCCAAAGGACUUGACGGUGUCUCAGACCCACCUARAGGAGCCUGUUYUAGAACCGAUAAUCCCCGUUAAACCUCACCAUCCCUUGUCUUUUCCCGCCUAUAUACCGCCGUCGCAAGCUUACCCUGUGAAGGGCUUACAGUAAGCAAAAUGGGCCAACCCCAGAACGUCAGGUCGAGGUGUAGCUCACGAGAUGGAAAGAAAUGGGCUACAUUUUCUAUUGCAGAAUAUUCACGAACGGUACCAUGAAACCUAGUACCCGAAGGUGGAUUUAGCAGUAAAAAACAAAUAGAGCGUGUUUUUGAAUCAGGCUNUG